AUUUAAAUAACUUAAAUUAAAGUUUAAUAAUGAAAAUAUUAAAAUGAUUUUUCUAAAUCUUUAAAUA
rnacentral:tRNA from 1 species